AGUGAACGCUGGCGGCGUGCCUAACACAUGCAAGUCGAAGGUAGUGGCGCACGGGUGAGUAAUAUAUAGCUAAUCUGCCCCUUGCUGGAGGACAAUAGUGUGAAAGGAUUGUUAAUACUCCAUAGCAAGGGAUGAGCCUAUAUCGUAUCAGCUAGUCGGUGGGGUAACGGCCUACCGAGGCUAUGACGCGUAACUGGUCUGAGAGGAUGCGCAGGAGAAUUGGAACUGAGGCACAGUGCAGACUCCUUGGGGAAGGAGCAGAAGGGUGAAGUGCGCAAUGGGGGAGAGCGAAAAGCAGCUACGCGGCGUGGAGGAUGACACGUUUCGGGGAGGGAACUCCUGUUAAUAAGGAAGCGGUACCUGAAGAAUAAGCACCGGCUAACUCCGUGCCAGCAGCCGCGGUAAUGC
rnacentral:rRNA from 1 species